rnacentral:rRNA from 1 species
UACGGAGGAUGCAAGCGUUAUCCGGAUUUAUUAGGUUUAAAGGGUGCGUAGGCGGGGAUUUAAGUCAGUGGUAAAAGGCUAUAGCUUAACUAUAGUAAGCCAUUGAUACUGGGUUUCUUGAGUUCGGUAGAGGUAGGCGGAAUGUGUUGUGUAGCGGUGAAAUGCAUAGAUAUAACACAGAACACCGAUUGCGAAGGCAGCUUACUAUGCCGUUACUGACGCUGAUGCACGAAAGCGUGGGGAUCAAACAGGAUUAGAUACCCUGGUAGUCCACGCUGUAAACGAUGAUCACUCGUUGUUGGCGAUACACAGUCAGCGACUGAGCGAAAGCAUUAAGUGAUCCACCUGGGGAGUACGUUCGCAAGAAUGAA